CCUACGGGUGGCAGCAGUGAGGAAUAUUGGUCAAUGGGCGCGAGCCUGAACCAGCCAAGUAGCGUGAAGGAUGACUGCCCUACGGUUUGUAAACUUCUUUUAUAAAGGAAUAAAGUGAGGCACGUAUGCCUUUUUGUAUGUACUUUAUGAAUAAAGAUCGGCUAACUCCGUGCCAGCAGCGGAGGUAAUGCGGAGGAUCCGAGCGUUAUCCGGAUUUAUUGGGUUUAAAGGGAGCGUAGAUGGGUUGUUAAGUCAGAUGUGAAAGGUUGCGGCUCAACCGUAAAAUUGCAAUUGAUACUGGCAGUCUUGAGUACAGUAGAGGUAGGCGGAAUUCGUGGUGUAGCGGUGAAAUGCUUAGAUAUCACGAAGAACUCCGAUUGCGAAGGCAGCUUACUAAACUGCCACUGACGUUGAUGCUCGAAAGUGUGGGUAUCAAACAGGAUUAGAUACCCCUGUAGUC
rnacentral:rRNA from 1 species